UACGUAGGGUGCGAGCGUUGUCCGGAAUUAUUGGGCGUAAAGCGUGCGCAGGCGGUGAUGUAAGACCGAUGUGAAAUCCCCGGGCUCAACCUGGGAACUGCAUUUGUGACUGUAGAGCUGGAGUACGGCAGAGGGGGAUGGAAUUCCACGUGUAGCAGUGAAAUGCGUAGAGAUGUGGAGGAACACCGAUGGCGAAGGCAAUCCCCUGGACCUGUACUGACGCUCAUGCACGAAAGCGUGGGGAGCAAACAGG
rnacentral:rRNA from 1 species